rnacentral:rRNA from 1 species
GACAGAGGGGGCGAGCGUUUUCCGGAGUCACUGGGCGUAAAGCGCGCGCAGGCGGCAACCUUAGUGUCGUGUGAAAGCCCCCGGCUCAACCGGGGGAGGCCAUGGCAAACUGGGUCGCUCGAGCUGCGGAGAGGCCCCUCGAAUUGCCGGUGUAGCGGUGAAAUGCGUAGAGAUUGGCAGGAAGACCAAGGGGGAAGCCAGGGGGCUGGCCGCAGGCUGACGCUGAGGCGCGACAGCGUGGGGAGCAAACCGG